GACGAACGCUGGCGGCGUGCUUAACACAUGCGAGUCGAACGGAAAGGCCCUGCUUUUGUGGGUUGCUCGAUUGGCGAACGGGUGAGUAACACGUGAGUAACCUGCCCUUGACUUUGGGAUAACUUCAGGAAACUGGGGCUAAUACCGGAUAGGAGCUCCUGCUGCAUGGUGUGGGUUGGAAAGUUUCGGCGGUUGGGGAUGGACUCGCGGCUUAUCAGCUUGUUUGUGGGGUAGUGGCUUACCAAGGCUUUGACGGGUAGCCGGCCUGAGAGGGUGACCGGCCACAUUGGUACUGAGAUACGGCCCAGAAUCCUACGGGAGGCAGCAGUGGGGAAUAUUGCACAAUGGGCGGAAGCCUGAUGCAGCAACGCCGCGUGCGGGAUGACGGCCUUCGGGUUGUAAACCGCUUUCGCCUGUGACGAAGAGUGAGUGACGGUAAUGGGUAAAGAAGCACCGGCUAACUACGUG
rnacentral:rRNA from 1 species